rnacentral:lncRNA from 1 species
GGUGGUGAGCUAUCUGAUACGGGUAAAAGACUACACCCGAGGAUCGAGAAUAAGAGUAUAUCUACUCCUAGUACAGUGAGUAAACUUACUAUCGUCUUAAUUAUCUAGAGUAGAUUUAUUUAAUUGUGUGAUUUUAUGAAAAAAUGGUUUAAUUGGAAAAUUAUUGUGUUUUAUGGGAAAAUGAGAUUUUAUAAAAUAAUUUUAUAAAAUUUUUGAAAAUUUAAUAAUGAUUUCAAAAAUAGAGUAAUUGGAGACCUAUACUAUGAUUGUGUUGUUUAUCCAUGAUUUUACAUUAAAUGGCUUAUGAUAAAUGUGGGUAUGACUGGUUAUUUUUAUGAUUUAAAGAAUAUGUGAACUGCUUUGAUUUGCCUUGAAUGUGUUAAGUGAGCCAUGUCAUACUAUUGUGAUUUUAUUGGUUGGUGGAUUAUAAAGUGGGCACUGCAGUGACGGGGGUUCCGUGGGCCAGCCUAAUUAGAGGGGCACGGUUCCCAAUUAUUGAGCUUACCUCGAUUGGAGAGGCGCGUAGGAUAACUCCCGAGGUAGGAUUUGAGUACACUUCACGCUGGCCACCACGUGAAAUUGGGACUCAGCCAACGCCAAGGAACGGCUGUGUUGUCAGAGGUGAAAUGUGUUUGUGUGUGUGACAAUAAACAGCCUUGGCGGUCUCGGUAAGAUGCUUUCGCGAGGUAUCCCCGAGAAUGGAUUUUUGGCAAGGGCCAAGUUUUUGAAAAGUGCAUAAGCCAUGUUGAGUAAUUAGAUGAAAUCCAAUUAUUUAUAUGGGUUGAGAUGAAUUAUUUUAAUUGUCUCCUAUUACUCGGCUUUAGAUUAUUUUGAUGAUGUCUGUCUACUCACUGGGAUUUUAUAAUCUCACCCCUUCUUCCUAUACAUUUUUCAGGCUCAGAAUAGGCAGUAGACUGUCAAUUGCAUCGAGAAGUAAAUUUCGGAGUUGCAUCCUAGAAAGCAAGGUUAUAGACUUAAACCUUCUCAGUUAUUUGGGGGCCCACGUGUCAUUGUAAUUUAAAUUGCAUACUCUAGUUUUCUAUAUUAUAGUAUGUAUAAAUUUAUUUUAUUUUUAUGUGCAGAAAAUUAAUUUUUUUUGUUGUUUCAAAAAUAUACAUAUAUAUAUAUAUAUUGUUUUACAUGAAAAUAGAUUAUUUUAAUUAAUAUUUUUAGUUUAUUUUAUUAUUCAAAAAAAAAAAAAGAAAAGGAAAGAGAGAGAGGAAUGGAAAAACUGGUACAAAAGCCUUGCGAGGUCUCGAAAGGCGUUCGGGGGAAGAAUGUCUAUCGAGGCUUCGCGGCGGUUGUCACGGGCUCGAUGGGAGUUCCGGGUCGUGACAAUUCGAUUGGUAUCAGAGCUUUUGGUUAACAAAGCAUGGUUUUAAAGUUUUUGAUUUUUAUAGUUAUUUUAAGAAUUCACACUAGCACUGUGUGGCCCCGGGUUGAGUUAAACUAGGUUAAGUUAAGUUGGGUUAGGUAGAGUUGCAUGUAUGUAGAGUUUGAGAUUACUUAAACUUGCCUCGUUUCCUUUUUAGAUUACCAUGCCUCCUCGACGUGAGCGCCCACUCCCUACUAGAUCAGCUAGGAGGGGCAGAGGUCGUCUUAGGCAGGGUCAGCCAGACCUUAG